AAUCUUCAUUUUUCUCUUACAAUCUGGUAACAAGGCUAGGGUGGUUAGUAGCCACGGCCGUAGCCUCUCACCAGACCAACCAGAGACAAUUUAGGAAUUAUAAAUUCCGUAAUUGGCCUUGCCGGAAAUCGAACCCGGGACCUCCCGCUCAUAAGACAGCUCUCACCACUGCACCAGGGUGGUUAUCGCUACUUUAGUGUGAGGAAAGUUUUUUCCUUCACCUGUACCUAAAGUUUUUUUUUUUUUUUAAUAGGCAACCGCUUGACCACAAUCACACCUGAUGGAAAGUGAUGAUGUGGUCUAAGAUGGGACGCGUUUACCUAGGUGCCUAUUCACUCUUGUUUUAAAGAUACCCGGAUUGUAAUUGGUAGGAAACACAGAUCGCGGAAGAGUAAAGUUUUUAAAAUUGAGAUAGGACAUGUUGCCAAUUCACAGUUAAUAUUUAAAAAAUAUUUACACAAAAAUUAAUAAAAUGUAAUAUACCAAAUUCUUGUAAAAGUAAAAUAAUGUGAUGAAUAACCAAAUUCUUUUAAAAGUAAAAUAAUUGUGAUGAUAACAAAACAUGUUAAUUUAAUUACAAUGGGCAAGAUAAUAUUCAUUAAUUGAUUACUGCCCGAGAAAAUGUAUAAUAGAUAUUAUGCAUUCAUUAGCGGAAAUGAUAAGAAUGUACACAAUUCACCAGUGUGGAACGAAAACUGAAUAACUGACAUCUUUGUUAAAAGUAACUCUCACAAAUUAUUGUGAGUUUUUUGUGGGCUCUUCUCAGACUUGGGCGCGUUUGGAACCCUCGCAGCUUUAGUUUUAAGUUACGUAAUUAAUUAUCACCACUAUAUCGUACAAAUUUAACAAUUUCGACCAUCAAAGAGAGUACAAUUUUACCUACUUGGAAUAAAUGAUUUUGACUUUGACUUUGAAAGAAAAAUUAUCUAGGUAGGUAUAUGGGAAGGAACAUAUGUGACAUUGAUACCUUAAACUGAUACAAUUAGGUAUAUAAAUUAUUAUUUGAUUUUAAUUUUCUGGACUCUACUGCAAGUUAUAAGAUUUAAAAAAACUCAGUCAGUAAGGGAACAAACAGAAAAAAAGUUGUAUCAGUUUAAAAUAACAGAGUACUUAUUUAUUUAAUUAUUAAAAUUAUAUACAUAACAAUGACUUCAUUACACCAUUCAUAAUGGAGCUUUAU